CUUGUAGCUCAGUGGUUAGAGCAGUGGACUCAUAAUCCAUUGGCCGUAGGUUCAAGUCCUACCAGGCG
rnacentral:tRNA from 1 species